AGCGGCAGGCCUAACACAUGCAAGUCGAGGGGUAACAGGAAGUGCUUGCACUUCGCUGACGACCGGCGCACGGGUGAGUACCGCGUAUACAAUCUGCCUCAUACUAGGGGAUAGCCCGAAGAAAUUUGGAUUAAUACCCUAUAGUAUCUUUUUAAGGCAUCUUAUUAAGAUUAAAGGUUACGGUAUGAGAUGAGUAUGCGUUCUAUUAGCUAGUAGGUGUGGUAACGGCACACCUAGGCUACGAUAGAUAGGGGCCCUGAGAGGGGGAUCCCCCACACUGGUACUGAGACACGGACCAGACUCCUACGGGAGGCAGCAGUGAGGAAUAUUGGACAAUGGGCGAAAGCCUGAUCCAGCCAUGCCGCGUGCAGGAUGACUGCCCUAUGGGUUGUAAACUGCUUUUAUAUAGGAAGAAAAACUUUCUCGUGAGAAAGCUUGACGGUACUAUAAGAAUAAGGAUCGGCUAACUCCGUGCCAGCAGCCGCGGUAAUACGGAGGAUCCAAGCGUUAUCCGGAAUCAUUGGGUUUAAAGGGUCCGUAGGUGGACAAAUAAGUCAGAGGUGAAAUCCUGCAGCUCAACUGUAGAACUGCCUUUGAUACUGUUUGUCUUGAGUUAUUAUGAAGUGGUUAGAAUGUGUAGUGUAGCGGUGAAAUGCAUAGAUAUUACACAGAAUACCGAUUGCGAAGGCAGAUCACUAAUAAUUAACUGACACUGAGGGACGAAAGCGUGGGUAGCGAACAGGAUUAGAUACCCUGGUAGUCCACGCCGUAAACGAUGGUCACUAGCUGUUUGGACUUCGGUCUGAGUGGCUAAGCGAAAGUGAUAAGUGACCCACCUGGGGAGUACG
rnacentral:rRNA from 1 species